UGGGGAAUUUUGCACAAUGGAGGAAACUCUGAUGCAGCGACGCCUCGUGAAUGAUGAAGAUCUUCGGAUUGUAAAACUCUGUCCUUAGCGAAGAUAAUGACAGUAACUAAGAAGCAAGCCCUGGCUAAAUACGUGCCAGCAGCCGCGGUAAUACGUAUGGGGCAAGCGUUGUCCGGAAUUAUUGGGCGUAAAGGGUACGUAGGCGGUUUAAUAAGUCCUAAUUAAAAGGCUAUGGCUCAACCAUAGUAUGGUUAGGAAACUGUUGAACUUGAGUAGAUGAGGGGAAAGUGGAAUUCCAUGUGUAGCGGUGAAAUGCGUAGAUAUAUUGAGGAACACCAAUGGCGAAGGCAACUUUCUGGAAUCAAACUGACGCUGAAGUACGAAGGCGUGGGGAGCAAACAGG
rnacentral:rRNA from 1 species